rnacentral:rRNA from 1 species
UGUCUCCGUUGGUGACCAGCGGAGGGAUCAUUACCGAGUUUACAACUCCCAAACCCCUGUGAACAUACCUUAAUGUUGCCUCGGCGGAUCAGCCCGCGCCCCGUAAAACGGGACGGCCCGCCAGAGGACCCAAACUCUAAUGUUUCUUAUUGUAACUUCUGAGUAAAACAAACAAAUAAAUCAAAACUUUCAACAACGGAUCUCUUGGUUCUGGCAUCGAUGAAGAACGCAGCAAAAUGCGAUAAGUAAUGUGAAUUGCAGAAUUCAGUGAAUCAUCGAAUCUUUGAACGCACAUUGCGCCCGCUGGUAUUCCGGCGGGCAUGCCUGUUCGAGCGUCAUUUCAACCCUCAAGCCCCCGGGUUUGGGUGUUGGGGAUCGGCUCUGCCCUUCUGGGCGGCGCCACCACCGAAAUACAUUGGCGGUCUCGCUGCAGCCUCCAUUGCGUACUAGCUAACACCUCGCAACUGGAACGCGGCGCGGCCAUGCCGUAAAACCCCAACUUCUGAAUGUUGACCUCGGAUCAGGUAGGAAUACCCGCUGAACUUUAGCAUAUCAAUAAGGGG